AUAAAAGGGAUGUGAAAGCCCUGUGAAAACUCUGAGCUCACAUUACGCACCAUCUUCAAACCUUGCCUGUAAGUACACACUUUACAGAAACGCUUUUAUUUCUGAGCUUCAUUUACCCAAAGGUGUAUUCUUCAUGUGGCUGCGGACGUAUUUCUGUCACGACCAAGAUAUAUAUCAGACGGGUUCAGUUUGACUGAACAGCUAAUGCCCUGUGUCUGCUUUUCGAAAAUAUGCAUCUAGGUAUGAAUAUUUCCAUGUGAAGUCUAUUCACUGGAAGGAUAAUUUACUAAAAUGGGAAUUGUGGGUAAUUCAAAUUGAAUUUACAUCUUUAGUUUGAAAUAGCCAAACAAGUUUUUAAUAUAAGCAUUUUGACUUCAAAUUUUAAUAUUCACUUUGAAUUUAUUUUCAAUUCCUGACAACGCGCACACACACACACACACACACACACACACACACACACACACACACACAAAAAAAUAGUGUAGGUUGCACUGAUAUUGGGGUACUGGGAAGUAGUGGCGGGCUUAACACAAUAUGGCCAUGUAGUGUAACUGAAUCUCUAUAUAUGUUUGCUGAGACAGGUGAUUUUAAGUAGCAUUGUUAAAGUUUAUCUUUUUUUAAAUUUAUUUUAUAUUUUUUGUGUGAUCUUGAUCUUUACAGCAGCACCUUAUACUUAGAAAUGCAUGUUCUAGGUGUGCCCCUCAAUUCACCUUUUUUUUUUUUUUUACUGGAUAAAAAAUGUUGUGAAUAGAUUUGCACAAUCUCAUAAAAUUAAUCAAGCGGGGGAAAAGUUUGAAAUGCUUUUUCCACUCUGUAUUGUUCACUAAGAUUGUGCAAGUCAACUUUGAAUGCAUCAAACCUCUUUCUUAAUGAAUAGCUCUAACGUGUGUGUUAUGUGUGGUGUGUAUUUUUGUGUUAUCGGCAAUGUUUCUAUAAACUUUAUAACUGUUUAUACAAAAUAUUUGAUGAUGAAAUUAAGAUGCACUGAAAUAAGAUUGUGUGACUAUAGAAAUAUAUAAUUAGGCCAGCUAUUGAACACAAAGUGCAUUUCAUUAGUCGAUAGAAAGCGUGUGUGCGUGUAUGGGGAAAAAAAUCUGAUCUUUUGUUGUGAAAAGUAAAGUGUACUUUGAAAAAGGGGAUAUUUUUUCCAGAGAUAUGGGUUAAAGGGAUGACUUGUGCUUUAGAUCUGAAAUACAAUAACUGAAAUAGAAUGUGUGGCUAUAAUAAGUAAUACGUUUUAAUAAGAGUAACUUCAAGUCAGGAAUUGACUGUCAGUUUUUCAGGUCAAGUGAAGUGGUUGAAAACAAUUCAAAGAAAAUCCCUGUGAUUUAAAAGAUUCCACGUUUCCAUCUCCAAGCUGCAGCGUCAAAGCAGUAUGAAAUAUAGCAAUGCAGUAAAAAGGAAUUAGACGAAAAGCCACAACACACGUCUUAUCUCCUAUAAAAAUUGUACAUUUCACGUUUUUUCCCCCAAUUAAAACAUCCUUUUGUAAGCUAUGUUUUGUUGUGGUUUGCAACAAAAUAAAUCAACCUUCUGUAACAGAACUCUUAACAACAAAACAAAAAUAUAUUUUAAAAAAAAAGGUGCUAAAAGUUAGGAGUUUUUGUGCAAAAUAGUAUCUUUGAGCAGUAAAGGCUAAUCAUACAUAUCUCUAAAACACAUUUAAUAUGAAUACACCUGAGCAUCAUGGGUAAUGUCAUUUGAAAGCACCUUGGGUGACUGGCUAUGACUGUUCUAAACUUUGCAGAGUAACAUCACCAGUGUAUUUAUCACCUGGUUUGUCAGAUUAAAAAAAACAACAUAUUUUGGGAAGUUUGUUGAAUGAUCAGCAAAGGGCAGAGCUUAUAACAAUGUCUGACAGAUGGAGGUGCCCAGUUGCAGGAUAAAGAAUUUCUACAUUUAAUUUUAUUUUUCAUGGGUAAAAUUUACAUAUUUGUUAAAUAUAGAUUAGAGUAAACAUAAUACGACAAAUCCUGGAAAGAGACAGUUCCACUUUAAUUGGGAGCAGGCAGUGUUCAAACAAUGCAUUAUAAAUAGCCGAUGGGACAGUUCAGUAGGUUAAUGCGCUAAAUCCCAAGGUCAAAUCAGCCUUUCCUCAUUCCAUGUUCAAUGAAAGUAGUUCUAUUGAGCAAGGUAACCAUAUCAUUAAUAAAAACAUUACACAAGAAAGCAGUAGGUGGGAAAGUACUUUAAAAAAUAGCUUUAAAUUCCUAUUAAUAUGGAUCAUAAAAUGCGUAAAACAGUGGGUAGAAAUGUGUAUUGACCACGUAACCUCUGAAUUGCUCUGGUUUACAACAUCCUGCAGAAGUCUUGCACAGUAAAUGGUUUAAAACAAAAAGAUUGUACCAUAGAAAACAGAUCAUUUUAAUUAUUUUAUUGCCAUUUUAUUUGUGGUGUUUUGCCAGACAUAGAAUUCUCUAGGGGUUGCUAGGUAAUUUGUUUACAGUGAUAUAUAGUUUUUUGUUUGAGCCAAAUUGUAACAGGAACUUUGAAUAUUAUCACAGUAAAAUCUCAGCAAAUGAUCUGGCAUACUUUAACCAAUUAAAUGAAUGCAAAAACAUCUGUGCACCAAGUUCAUCCAAGUUUCAUGUGCCAAAAUCUAACUAAGAAUGUCUUAUCAAGCAGAGAAAAAAUAUAUAUAUUUAAAGGAACACUCCAAUCACCUAACGCACUCUGGUUUGCUAAGUGUGUCCUCCUUUUUAUUUUACAUGAAAUUGCAGAUUUCAAUAUCAGUUGUCACAUUUACAAAUUAACCUUGUUACACCUACCUACAUGUCAAUCAGACAACAGGUUCCAUUACGUUCUGGUUGUUUAAACUCAAGAGGCAGCAAUAGUCUUCCAAAGACUUCUCAUUGAGCUGCAUUGGGCAGUCUGGGUGGGGUUAGAAGCGGAGGGCUUGCAAAGGCAGCAGACAAGAGAUCUGCAGCUUUAACACGCUGUUUUUAGAUAUAACCUAAUGAAAAAAAAAAUGCAUAUUGAAAUGUUUGCAUGGGGUAUAUCUACUAAGCAGUGUUGUUGUUCUAUUUACAAAUUUGGCAUGGUGGGCAGUGGUGUAUUUUAAAUUUGUGCUGCCGCUUGGCAUGACGAAUCUUUUUUUUUUUUUUUUUUUUUAGUUUGCAUAAAUUUUUAUUAGUUUUAUCACAAAAUACAUAAAAAUCAUUUCCAUGCAACACACUCAACAUAGGUAUUGGUUUGGGACAGGUUACACAUAAAAAAUAAAAGAAACAUACAACGGUCUAUCAAACAAUGCAAAGUAUCUUAAUGUGCUAAUAAACCCAAAUUACAGAUAAUAACCUGUACCCUUCACCCAUCUACCCAGAGGGUGCUCUACCCAACUCUCAUCUCCAAUCUCCCCAUUAUCCUAUAUUAGAGGCAUACUUCAACUCCACAUAUUGAUCGUCAUCUGCAACCAUAUCCUAGAGGAGAGGCCCUAUAACAUAUAACCCUCUUCUGUACGGCAGAUAGAGGCCCUCUAUAUAGAUAGGAAUGAGGAGAUAUGCCAAGAAGUGUAUGAUGGAUAACCCGGGAAGAUGGAAUAAGUCCGUUCAAAACCUUCAAUACCCGUGUUAAACAAACACACACAUAUCACAUACAUUGUUCCGAGAUUCCAUGGGGAAGUGAGCUGAUGAGGAGAAAAAACUAUAAAGAACUUUGUCCCUGGGAUAAACAAUAGUCGUCCCAAAGGGCCCACCUAUACUUUGGGGCUACGUAAACCCCUAAGUGUCCAUCCUCUCUUUCUAAUGCUCUGUUUCUCUGCAUCACCCUUUCCACAUCUGACCAUUUUGGCAACCUCCCUGCUUUCCAAUUUACAACAGUCAACAUUUUCGCUAUUGAAAAAAUACAAAGCAGGAGGGAUUUUAGUUCCUUUGUGCGGUAACCAGGUAUGAAGUGAAACAGAGCCAGUUCUGGGGUUAAAUUAAUCUUUUCACCAAUGAUACGAGACACCCCAUAUUUUACCUCCUUCCAAUACUUUUGUAUGUGAGGGCAGAACCACCACAUAUGUAUCGCUGAGCCUACUUGGUUACAGCCUCUUCAACAAAAUUUAGAAGAGUCAUCUUUCUUCAUUUGCCAAAAUUUAAGCGGCGUUACGUACCAUCUGUUUACAAUUUUAAAGUAUAACUCCCUGUAUGAGACAUGUUUAAUUAAUUUAUCUGUUAAAACGGAAGCAGCCAACCAUAUUUCCAUGGGCCAGGAUUGAUUUAAUUCUUCUUCCCAAAUUCUCAUAUUUAGACAUUUGGUGUUCAAAUCCCCAUCUCUCAAAAGACUAAAACAUUUCGAAAGCAUAUGCUUCCUAUUUGUUGAACAUAUUCUUUUUUCACAAGAGUCAACUGUCUAAACUCUUUUAGGCGAUAAGUUGAUGAGUAAAUACUCAAUUUCAACCUAUUAUAUUCUAACCACAUGUUAGCUGGAAUAUUAAAAUUAGACUGAAUAUAGUCAAAUGGAAGGAAUUCAUUAUUAACAUAUAAGUCUCUUAAGUAUCUACAUCCUACCUUUAGUAAUGUCUCUAACAAAGGAGAAUUAAUCUUUUCCUGAAUACAUAAAAUAGGUGUGAACGGACUUGGAAAUGGAAUCAGGGAGUAUUUGCGAUUCAAAUUCCGCCAACCUUUGAGAAUGUGCCAUAAUGGUUUUACUAUGCACUAGACCACUGGAUAAAUCAUCUCGAAAAAUAAUUGAGUUCAGAUGUGUUUCUUUAAAAAAGAAGGCUUCUAUCGAUACCCAAUUAUUGUUUUGUACCUCUUCCUCCCAUCUCAGUAUAUGUGCCAGAAGGGAGGCUUCCUGAUAUUUCUUAAUGUCUGGAUUUGCAAUCCCACCACCAGAAAUUUUUUUUGCCAUAAUUGGUAUCUUAAUUCGCAUUCUUUUAUUCUGAUGGAUGAAUACAUCUAUCGCCCGUUGUAAAUUAUUCAACAAAUAAUCGGGACACUGCCAAGGUAUGCAUCGCAUAAUAUAGGUGAUCUUAGGUAAUAUAGUCAUCUUAAUCGCUGCUAUUCUACCUGACCAGGAAAUAUUGAGAUUUUUCCAUGUAGCUAGCACUUGCAUUAUAUUAGAAUAAACUAAUUGGAAGUUAACUGUUAUAGUUUUUUUUCAAUUCAGCAGAUAGUUUCCUAGAUGAGUAAUUGAAUAUUGCCAAUUAAACUGAUAUGAUGAAUCUUGUGCACCCCCCACUAAUCUAAAUUUGCUCUGCCCCUUCCUGUCAAGGCUGCACCUCUUCCUGUUUAAGACCAACACGCAGUUUGACUGACAGACACCCACUGACACACACUCUCAGAUACACAUACAGUGACAUACAUUCACUGACAGACACACACUGACAUACAUUCACUGACAAAUUCACUGACAGACACACACAUUCACUCACUAAUAGAUGCACACUGACAGACACAAACACUCACUCAUAGAUACACACUCACUCACAGACAUACACUGACAGUCACACACACAUUUACACAUUUACUAACAGACACAUACUCACGGACAUCCCCUGACUAGUGAUGUCGCGAACACGAAAUUUUCGGUUCGCGAACGUCGAACGCGAACUUCCGCAAAUGUUCCGCAAAUGCCAUAGACUUCAAUGGGCAGGCGAAUUUUAAAACACACAGGGAUUCUUUCUGGCCACAAUAGGGAUGGAAAAGUUGUUUCAAGGGGACUAACACCUGGACUGUGGCAUGCCGGAGCGGGAUCCAUGGCAAAACUCCCAUGGAAAAUUACACAGUUGAUGCAGAGUCUGGUUUUAAUCCAUAAAGGGCAGAAAUCACCUAACAUUCCUAAGUCACACUGAAUAUGGAUUGACACCUGACAUAUGACAUAUUGACACCUUGACAUAUGGAUUGACACCUGUCCUCAGAGCCCCUGAUGCACACAGACACAGAGCAGAAUAGGGACUGGUCCCCCUACAUAGGGUCACUUGGCAGAUAUGGAUUGACACCUGUCCUCAGAGACCAUGAUACACACUGACACAGAGCAGAAUAGGGACUGUUCCCCCUACAUAGGGUCACUUGGCAGAUAUGGAUUGACACCUUGUUACAAACUGCUAUUUGUAAUGGGCCCUUUAAAUGGCAAAUUGCCCUGCUUCCCUGGGUUGUGGAGAAGCCUAUUUGCCAGCCUCCUCCCGCAUUACUAUGGCCCCUGGGAGAUUGUGAAAAUGUAUGCACUUUUAUUUGGUGUGUAUGGCCUUUAAGACUGUCAGUGGGCAUAUUGGGGCUUAUGGACUCUUUAUUUGACUGGUGCUGGCCCUUUAAACACCUUUUUUGGGACAUCAGGAAGAUUGGGACACUGCCCCUUUAAGGCCGUGUCCCCAGACUUGUUGGGGACACUGCCCCUUUAAGACGGUGUCCCCUGUGUCCCCAGACCUGGUGCAAACCCUUUGUGCCUGCCUGGCUAUUUCCCACUUGGUUCAGUAAAUGGGGCUUACUGAACCAAGUACCACACAGGCAGACCACCCAGAAGUGGAAGUGUGCAGGCAAUUUACCUCCCAAAAGCUGCGGUUAACNNNNNNNNNNNNNNNNNNNNNNNNNNNNNNNNNNNNNNNNNNNNNNNNNNNNNNNNNNNNNNNNNNNNNNNNNNNNNNNNNNNNNNNNNNNNNNNNNNNNUAACCCCAACCGUCUCCUGUUUUGCCACCUUUCAGAAAUCUGUAGCACUUCCAAAAUUCGGCAUUCUGGAAAUUAUGAAACUCUGCACUUCGGACAUUCGGAAGCAUCUGAAUGUUUGAAUUUCCGAAAUUCAUCCGAAUUUGCAUUUGCAUUUGGAACAAAAAUUCACAGGAUUACUCAAUAAUGUUUAAAUUGUUGGGAAUUCAAAGUCAACAUGAAAUUUUCUCCAAGCCAGUUACAUUUCUAUUUAGACUUUGACGGUUGGUUGAUGCCCUCAGCCAGUCACUGGUGAUCCCUUACUGCUUAUGCUAAUGUUUUUUUUGCAAAGACUGCACUCACAGGCUCCAAGCAUCUUAACAGCAUUAAGAUGUAGUUGUUAUGGUGCCUGGAGUAUCCCUUUCUGCUAUACUUCAAAGUGUACCUGUCGUGGCACACAUAAGUUUAGUUAAACUAAAAAUAGAAGGGAAAAAAUAAUCUAUACAUUGUGGUAACAUAAUUGCUAGGAAAUCUAUAUACAAAUACUUUAUUAAGUUAUGGUUCUAAACCACCUUUUAAUCACUUAUUAGCAUAAAGUGUGCGUAGACUUCCAUUAUGACAAUUGAUUGACAGAGGAGAGCUGGAGAUCCCUUCUACUAGGGGGUCUCCUGUUCUCUGUCGUAGUUAUGCUAAGAGUGAGAAACAAUUGCUCUGUGAAUAUAUGACCAGAGCAACUGAUGUCAUACCAUUCGAACGUCGAUGUACUGGCAGUGAAGCCAGCAUAUAGAAGUUAUUAGGACAUAUUCCUAAGCAGGGCUAUUUGCUAUGUAUGGGGGAUAGAAGUAUUUAGGGACUUUGGUUCGGUGAUACAUUUAGAACGUACGUUUCAAGAGUGAGUUGUCAUCGAAUAUCUCCUAAAGCAAAUAAAUACAUAAUUUAAGAAUAAUGCUAAAAAGUUAUGCCCCUAUAUGGGCACACCUUCGGAAUUGCUUUGAUAUGGCAACACCUGUAUUUAGGAACCAAGAGUAAAAAAGUGAAGUGAACAAACUAAGUGAUGAAAUAUAACACAAGUAUUCCGGCUAGGUAGAAGAAACAGAAAAGUGGCAAAGAAUCGUAACAGUUUUAUAGAGCUCUGUGAUACUUUCUUACAGAACACACAUUGCGGUGAGUUUAAUUGUUGUUGAGCUCUGUGACAUAUUGAUACAUACCACAUGUUGUUUUUAACUUUAAUGCUGUGGAGUUCUAUGAAAUGUUGUUUGGGUUCAAAUCUAUCAAUGGGGGUAUUACACCUGAUACCUUGGUCGACCAUCAAACAAUUUGCGGCAAUCUGUUCAGAUUUCUAGCUGGAGAUGUAAUUAAAGGCAUGAGGACAGUUUUCUGGUGCAAUCAAAAAAAUUCUCAUUUAUUAAGCAAAAAGAAAGGCUUUUUAUAGACAUUUCAUUCAAUGUUUUUCCAAAAAGUCAAAAAUGUAAUUGGAAAAUAUAUUAUCUGUCUUUUCCAGAGAAGAAGGAUGUUGCUGGUCAAAUUGAACUUGUUGUGUACCACUUAACCCUUUGUAUGCUGUCUUAUAUGAAGUACAUUUGUUUUAUACACCUUAAGUUUAUGUUAUUGACUUCAAAGUCACACUUCUCAGCAAACAUAAUUAUCUAUCUUAUGUUAUGUUUAUUGGUGUGAUAACUAUUAUCUAUCCUUAAUUAAUUACAUUAUUCCCUAUAUCUGAGGUUGCCACCCUCCUUGAAAAAAAAAAUACCAGCUAUACUGAUAUGCAUGAUUAAUUAUGUAUGCGUGACAUUACAUGAUGUAAAUCACAAGGAGUGACAUAACAGAAAAUUCUGUAAAAUCAACAAAAAAAAUAGUUAGUUUGAUACUGCUGUAUAUAGGGAUUUCUCCCACUGUCUCCCUGUCUCACAGUAUCUCUUUCAGUGUCCCCGUGUCUCCAAGUGUCCCUUAUUGUCCCUGUGUCUCCCCUAGUGUCCCCGUGUCUCACAUUGUCUCCAUGUGUCGGUGUCCCAAUGUGUCUUUUUGUCCCCACAUCUCUUUGUUCCCAUAUCUCCCAGUAUUUACCUGUGUCUCCCAGUGUCUACUAGUGUCUGUGUCCCCAGGUCUUCCAGUGCCUCCUAGUGUCUGUGUCCCUAGGUCUUCUUGUGUCCCCUGGUGCCUCUGUGUCCCAUAGUGUCUGUGUCCCCUGGUGUCUCUGUGUCCCCAUGUGUCUCCCAGUGUCCCUUAGUGUCUGUGUCCCCAUGAGCCUUCCAAUGUCCCUAAGUGUCUGGGUCCCUAUGUGUCUCCUAGUGUCCCUUAGUGUCUGGGUCGCCAUGUGUCUCCCAGUGUCCCUUAGUGUCUGGGUCCCCAUGUGUCUCCUAGGGUCCCUUAGUGUCUAGGUCACCAUGUGUCUCCCAGUGUCCCUUAGUGUCUGGGUCCCCAUGUGUCUCCUAGGGUCUCUUAGUGUCUGUGUCCUCAUGUGUCUUCCAGUGUCCCUUAGUGUCUGGGUCCCCAUGUGUCUCCUAGGGUCCCUUAGUGUCUGUGUCCUCAUGUGUCUUCCAGUCUGGGUCCCCAUGUGUCUCUGUGUCCCCCAUCCCUCACUUACCUGAUCUGUUGUCUGUCUCUGCUGGCUGGACUCUCUGUGCUGAUCCCCCACAGAUCAGUGAGUAGAGAGAGUCAAGGAAAUUAUGUAUCUUCCUAUCCCUGCCUCUCUCCACACACACAGCGCCUCCUACUGGCCCGCACUGGUAUCACAGUCUAAUCUAAGAUUAUACUAUGAAAAAUACCAACAUUUGUAUGUAGUUAGCAGUUAGCAGUUAAGCUGUUGUAUGAGUUAGCAGUUAAGGAGAUAAUAAUCUUGAAGACAAGAUACCCGGACAAACACAUCUAUAUCUAGGGUGUAUUAGCUCCAAACUAGCAAGUAUUGAGCAACUAUUAGCUAGCAAAAGCAUGUUUCUUGAUAACACUGACCAAUUCUUAUUAUCUUAAUAUGUCCCGUGCUAUCUGGCGCUAGGACAUUAGCAGCAGAUCCUGUAGGUUGUGAGGUGCGGUCUCCAUGGAUCAGAUUUGAUGUUCCAACACAUCACACAGAUGCUAAUUUGGUUUGAGAUCUGGGAAAUUUGAGACCAAGGAACACCCAGAACUCUAUGUCAUGUUCCUGAAACCAUUCCUGAACAAUCUGUGCAGUGUGGCAGGGGGCAUUAAUAUGUUUAAAGAGACAACUGCCAUCAGGGAACACCAUUGCCAUAAAGGUACGUACGUACGUGGUCUGCAACAAUCUCUAGGUAGGUGGUAUGUGUCAAAGUAAUAUCCACAUGAAUGCCAGGACCCAAGGUUUGCCAGUAGAACAUUGCCCAGAGUAUAACACUGUCCCGCCGGACUGCCUUCUUCCUAUAGCGCAUCAUGCUGCCAUCUCUUCCCCAGGUAAACGACGCAAAUGCACCCGACCAUGCAUCUUAUGUAAAAAUAAAAUGAUAUUCAUCAGACCAGACAAACUUCUUCCAUUUCUCCAUGGACCAGUUCUGAUGUGAUCAUGGGCACUCUGACCAGUCUGCAGCUAUGCAGCCCCAUAUGCAAAAACACUGCAAUGCACUAUGUGUAUUGUUGUGUUCUUGUAAUGAAGAAAGGAUAUUUAUGGAGGUCCAAGAAUAUAACUCCCACUGAUCUUUGGAGAGGGGGCUUCUCCGAGGUAACCCACAUAUCACAGGGCCAGUUAUAUCAUUUAUUAUCAUUGUUACCAUUCUAACAGUACUAAAUAAGUUGUGCUGAGCCCAAACAUAAUGAUACGCCACACUGAUUAAUUUUUUGACACUUGGUCCUUUUGGAUCCAAGUCCAUGCUUUGGUUUUUAAAACUAUUGUUCCAUUGCUAAGUGUGCCUGCAGAAAUGCAGAAUGGAGCCUGAAAUCUGAUGCCCAUUUAUGCUCAUUUACANNNNNNNNNNNNNNNNNNNNNNNNNNNNNNNNNNNNNNNNNNNNNNNNNNNNNNNNNNNNNNNNNNNNNNNNNNNNNNNNNNNNNNNNNNNNNNNNNNNNUGUCAAGCUGGAAAUUCCACGUGAAUUGCGAAAGACAAGAUUUCUCAGAAUUACUGUGUGCAAUGUGGACUUUUCCCAGGGCCCUGUUUGACUUUUGUAGAUGAAGCACAACGGUAAAAAUUUGAAUAUUUAUUGAUUUGGAAGAUAUAUUUCUCCACAUUCAGACGAAUGUAUAUAUGAUUUUGAGUGAGGGACGUCUAGAUAUCUUCCUCUUGUAUCUGAAAAAAAAUAAUCGAGAAUGCAUAAUAGAGCCCAGGGAACAUUUAGUUCCGUCAGUUCUUUAGUAACUGCUGCAGCGCCUGCUCUUGACAUCUCACAAGCCAUCUGAGCAAUUAUGGAAGAAAAUAAAAAGACGAAAGCUUAACACAGGACUCACCUUAAAAGCUAAUGCGGGUCUCGUAAUGCAUCGGUCCACUUUCAGAGCUCAUGGGAAGGGGAAGUGUUAUUUUAAAAAGCUCAAAUAACGGCAUGCGCGUGUGGUUAAACAGGGUGAAAGCAUCAGCAUUUCUAAAAAGUGACAUAUUAGCCUUAUUGAUGCAUUCAUUAAAGGGCUUCAUUAAAUAAUACACAAUGCUCGUGUUCUUUUUACUUAAAGGGGGACUGUAAUCUCUUUAAACAUUAAAUAAAUAAAACGCAGCGAAUAACCUCAAACGUGUGUUCACCUUGUUUCAUGAGAUGUUUAUUUAUCUGUUAAGUUUUAAAUUUAUCAAAUUACAUCAUAACCCAGGUCAGACAAGGCAAGGGCAGAAACUGCAAAUGAUGAGAAUAAAUAGAAUCAAUGCUCGAUCUCCCCCUUUCUCUGUAUGCUUUCCCUCUCCAAUUGCAAGAUACCUUCGUUGAUUAUUCAUUUUGUUCGAUUUUUCACACCUCACUAGUACAUGUUUGCUGAAUAUAGAGAAGAGUGAAGAUAUUGGUAAAAAUCAGGGGAAGUGUCUUCAAUGAAUUUCUCUUACCUGCUCCUAAAAAAACUAAAAGUCUAAAAGGGUUUUAUUCUCUAAAUUGAAAUGUUAUGUUUACAUAUGAAACCAAGAGGGCUGCACUCACCAGGACAUGCUCACACUAUGAGGGUGCUGUUGGGACUGAUUUAUACCGCACUCCAGCGCAUUCACUCAUUCACUGAACAGCAACUUCAAAGGUUUGCGACCUUUCAAACUGCUGUUUAGUGUAUGAGUGACAUAGCCACUAGUGGGCCAGUGGCCGCAGGGGGGCAGGUAAAGGUGAGAUUGAGUACAUGAACCUGUCCCUCACAGGCGCACCAUCUUUCUAGCGCUGCACCUUUUCAACUCAUUGCGCUUCAGCGACAGGAGCCAAAGUCACUGCUGUAUUCUGGCGCAUGCGUGAGAGUAUAGCAUUGAGGUCUAUGGGGGGAAUCCCUUGAGACAGGGGAUCCUCUAUAGACACAGCCAAUUCCCUGCAGGCAUCACGGCUGUUGGGAUUGACUCUCAGAAAGUCAGGUGCAGGAGGAAUACAGAGACAAAGUAGUACCUAUGUCUCUGUAUAUCUCUUAAAUUGGUUAGCAUUUCAGUGAAAUUCCAACACAGUCAAAAUGAGUAUUUCAUAAAGAUUCUAAUGCUCAUUUUUUUGGAAGGAGGUAAUGGGGGGGGAUGACCAUGCCGCUUUAUAUUAUAAUAAUCACUGAUGAUGACUGGCUUGAUAUUGGAGGAGUCACCGAGUACCAGAAAAACUCAGAUUAGCUCUAAAUUGCACUGGUGCAAAUAGAAAAGUAAGUUGGGUUUUUGUAUAAUAAGAAAGAAAAAUUGAACAUUGAGGGUCUUGAAUCAAUUAAAACUAGGGGGACCUGGCACCCAGACCACUUCAUUGAGCUGAUGUAAUCUGAGUGCCUAUAGUGGUCCUUUAAUCUCUGGACAGACUUUUACCCACUAAACUAUGUCUUAGGGCUGUACUGGAAGUGUUGUAGUUCUUAGAAGUCAGAGGGAUGCAGAAAUGAGCCCCAAAGCACGUUUCGCCGGUCAGGCGGCUCUUGAAGGGGAUAUAUAUUUUUAAUCAGGAUUGUUCCCUUACUAAAACUAUCAUUGGGCUGAGGAAGAUUCUUCUGUCCAAGUUAGAGCUUUUGUAAUAGCUAUUAUAGCAGCCCACUUCAAGGACAAUUGUUACAUUAUUAUCCAGUUGCUAACACUUCUACUUUGUUACGCUUGCUCUACUUGCUACCGUUAUCUUAGUUUUUGUUUUUCUGACAUUCUGAAUAACAUCGCAAGAUUCUAGAUAUUCUUCUGCCUCCAAAUACCUAGUAUGAAAUAACAUUUAUUGUUCGCUAAUUCGAUGAUCAACUGGUCCUUAACUAUGUAUAUAUUAUUUUUUUCUCUUUUGCUUUCCACUUUUCCUUUAUAUUACAUUGACUACAUUAGGUUCAUUCUCAUUUUGGGUUUACUUUUCACACUAUUUUAUUUUGUGAUAAAAAUUAGCUUUUUAAUUAACAUAUUAAAUGUUACGUUUUAUAGAUUUUCAUAUCAUAGGGCAAGUUCUUCUCUACUAUAUUAGGUUUUUAUAGCUUGAUUUAAUUUUGAAAUGUUUUAGGGGGAAAUAUGAAACAAUACCGGGAGAACAUGCCAUCUUGGGUAAUUGAAUUUUCAGCAAUUACUGCUAGGGCUGCAGAUAUACAGAUAAACAGUAUUCAUAUCAAUUAUAUUGAUUAGCCAAAUUCUCACAUUCUUUUGCACUCACAGUAUUCAAACAUUGUUGCCCUUAAAUAAUUGUCUUUUUUUAUGCUACAUAUGAUUCAUUUUCUCCAGUCCACCUCAAUGAUUAAUUCCCAUGCCAUAGCAACACAGUAGCCGUAGUCAUAAUCUUCUUUAGAAAAAUUAAAUUGGCAUCACAUCUAUAUUAAACUGCCACAAAUGACACCUAAGAUAAUACUAUUUAUUUGGACUUCACAGAAUACCACACCUAUCUUCAGAGUGGGUGACAUCCAUUUGGACAAAUGAAAAUGGGAUUGGAGAACAACAUAGGGAGCACUCUUAAGGAAAGCCAAGGACAAAACUCAGUUUCCCUUAUUAUUCCUUUGAGUGGAAAUAAAAAUAACAACAACAAGAACAGCAUAAAAAUACAAUCUGUAUCCAACCAACGUACUGGAACAAUAGUGAAAUCCCAAGCCAACAGUGAAAGUCUAGUUAAAUCGCAAUCCUGCCAAGAAAGACUGGACAAAUCUCAAUCCAGCCAAUCCAUUGGAAGGUUCCUCAAAUCACAGCCCAACCAACACAGUGAAAAGUUCACCAAAUACAAAUCUAAUCAACAGAGUGAAAGACCAUUCGAAACACAAUCUAAACACCACUUUGAAAGACCAGCCCCAUCUGAAAUCAAUGAAUACAGUGACAGACUAAUUCUAUCUCAAUCCAAUCAACUUGACAAACUCAUCCUGCCCAAAGCAAAACAACAUAGUGUAAAAUGUCAAUCACAGUCCAUCCAACAUUGUGAAAGACCAACCCAGGCUUCAGCAGUCCAACACAGAGAACAGUUUGUCCUUUCUUUAUCCCACCAAUAUACUGAAAGUCUCGUUCAAUCAAAGUCCAGCAAACAUAACGAUGAAAGAACCAACCAGUCUCAAGCCAACCAAAAAACCGACCACCUAACCCCGUCCCCAUCCAACGAGCAUAGUGAAAGACUAAUUCAAUCUAAAUCAAAGCAAAACAAAGACAAUCUAACCCAUCCUCACUCUGACCAACAGAAUAAAACACAGAUGGAACCUCUAGAUGGCCAACAAAGAGAUAAAUUAGUUCCAGACAGCUGUAAUUUUAUGUUGUCUUCACAUUUGAAGACAGAAGCAAAGGUUUUGCAUAGGAAUGAAUGUAUCGCCAUUUCUAAUUCUUGUCAACCGUGUGAUUCUGAUGUUAAAUAUCAUCAAGAAAAAAACACAGUCGUAACUCAGCAUGAAAACAAAGUGUCCAGCAUGUCCGCUGGAAGUAAAAAGGAGGUUUUCCAGUUUUGGUCAUCGCGAGUAAGAAGCCACACAAACGUUAAUGGACACAAUGCAAGCCCCAAUUCAAACUCAAGCAAGCAAACAGUGCAAACUGCUCCCAAAAUGGAAACUCGUUCUCAAAAUAGAUUGGAAAGUCAUAGUUGUGGGUUGGACUUUAAUAAAGAUGUCAGCAAAUGCAUAAAGCCUGGGAAGAAGAGAAGUGACAUGUUUUCCAUGAACACAUUUAUCCAUAUUGAUCAUCAUGUCAUCAGCAUAAGUGACCAGGUAUGUGUAUGGGCAUCAUGACAAUGAACAGUUAGAGUCACAUUACAUUGAUAUAUGUGUAAUGUGUGACAUAAUCUGUAUUGUACAUGUAUAGUAAGUAUCUUUCUUUAUUUCUUAAUGUUUAAUCAGAGGUAAGUAUUUUGAUUCUCAAAUGCCCAAUGGGCCAGAUUUACAAAAAUCUUGCUAUCUAGGGUACAUCCCCAUGCCCUUACUGGCCAAACUCAUUGGCCUAACCUCCAGUCACACAGCCAUUGCUACAUAUCCCCCCCCAACCCCCUUCCACCCAUCACCCCCUCCCUCCCCUGUCAUUAACACACUCUUAUUGACAUUAGAACUCAGAGAUCACAAAUCUUUGUAACAAUACCAUUUUUAAAUAUUGGUUGUAAUUGCAAACAAUGUAUAUGGUGUAUUGGGGACACUGUAGGGACUAUAAAAUAAAAUGGGUGUGAGGCAGUCUUAGUCAGAUAACCACCCAUCUGAUUACCUUCUGUGUAGUGAUAGUGGGUUGAGAGCACUGUGGGUAAUAUGCUGGGGCAGUGGGGAAGUCUAGCAAAGAGAUGAUGGUUGGGAUGAAUUAACACUAUAGGGAAAAAAAUGGAGAGUCGGUAAAAGGCACAGUAGGGACCCGCCCUCCAUGUCUCCCGCACUAGUAACUCAUCCUACUGGAAGUAAACCAUGCCAGGCUUGAAAUGAACACAGAAAACAGGCAUUCUCCAAAGCACAAUUAAGGGCCAUUAGGUCCAAAAGGUUUUGGCCUGGCUCCCGCUAUGUUGCUGUACAUUGACUGUUUUUCAUUAGUGCUAAUAAUGUUUUAUCACUGCUUAGGAGAACAUUUGCUUUGAAUGCUUCUCUCAAACCCCACAUGGCUUACUUUUUAAUUUGGAAUGUGUAACUUCCUGGCUUUGCAUCCUCCAACAACAAAUGGUAAACACAAUAUUCAUUUGAUACGAUCUAUAAUCUGGCGUUCCAAGGAUGUUCCAAGGAUGUCUCUUUUUCUUUUUUCUUUGAAUUCAUCCUCCUAACCACCAUCCACAUUAUUAUUUUGGAUUAGUAAAAUUUAAUAUGUAGAAAAAAAAUAUUCUUCCAUGAAGGUUAUUUCGAUAUUUUCCACUUUCUACGUCACAAUUUUGGACAUAGAUGUUUCAUCCGACAAGACUUAACCAUGAUUGAGGUCUUGGCUGGACAAAACAUUGUGAUUUUAUGAGAAACGUACCUAUAUAAAGAUAUCCUGCUGUUGAAGCUUGUUCCUGUAUUUUUACCAGAAUUAUACAGAGCUAAAGCGAAACAAAAGUACCCAAUAAAAGCUGUGCCAGAAAACAGGACAUGUAUAGUCUAGGGAUGUAUGUAUACAAAUAUCUAUCUAUCUAUCUAUUUAUCUAUAUACUGUCUGUCUAUCUAUCUCUCUAUCUAUCUUUCUAACUGUCUGUCUGUCUGUCUGUCUAUCUAUAUAACUGUCUAUCGAUCUACUGCCUAUCUAUCUAUCUAUCUAUCUAUCUACUGUCUAUCUGUCUAUCUAUGUAUCCAUCUAUGUAUCUAUCAUUGUCUGUCUGUCUAUCUACCAUCAGAAAACCACAGCGAAUAGAAGUCAAUGAAAGAACAGAGACAAUGAGCGUGAUAAAAUUGCAAAGUAGAGAAUGUUGUCUUUACCAAUUUAUUUUGACAUAUACCACUAUUUUUUAGAUUAGAUUUGAAGAUUAUUCAAUAGAAGAAAUUGUAUUUGAGAUCACCAAGAAGGCUCAUAGUGACCUAGAAAAGAUACGAGCUAUUUGGAUAUGGCUUUGUCACAAUAUCCGUAAGUAUAACUGCUUUCUCUUUGUUAAUUGAUAAAUCAAAUGAACUAGAUGUUAUAAUAAACAUAUCGAUCAUUGUUACCAAUAAGGAUUCUCAUAUACAGGUCAUUUCAACGUUUCUGUACAGAAUCCCGGAGUAGGGUGCUGUUUUGAUGCAUAUAUUGCAACAAGUAUACAAGGAUACAAGUAUUCAGAAACAUACAUAUACAGCUGGAAUCAGAAUUAUUCAACCCUCAGUGAAAAUAAGGUAAAUUGCCAAAAUGUACAGACUUUUCAGCUCUUUGCGUUGAACAAAGCAAACAAAAACAAUUGAAAUAGCUCACAAUGAAUGCUUCAAGUGGUUUUCACAAAUUCAGCUGAAAUGCAAUUUAUAAUGACUUCUCCAGUCUCAGAAUUAUUCAACCCCUUCAUUGCAAGCAUCUUUAGUACUUGGUAGAGCACCCUCUUGUGGUUAUGAGAUGCAUAGCCUGACACCAGCUUCUGGCAACGUUAAUGAGGAAUUUUAGCCCAUUGCUCGUGGUCUCCAGUUCAGAAAUAUUCUUGGGUUUUCAUGCUCCAACCGCCUUCUUCAAAUCCCACCAGAGAUUGUCUAUGGGGUUCAAGUCAGAUGACCGACUGAAGUGAUGGCGACUGAAGAAUUUUCCAGGACUUCUUCUAUCAUAUGAAGUAAUUAAUGAAGCCCUUAAUUAGUUGCAUCAGGUGUGAUUGAGACAACACCCAUUUUGCAUAUGUGUGCUGUUGUGAGGAGUUCUAUUCAUGUGGUUAAAUACAUUUGAGAAUGGAGAAGUCAUUAUAAGUUGCAUUUUCAGUUAAAUUUGGGGAAACCCCUUGAAGCAUUCAUUGUGUUGAGCCAUUGCAAUUACUUGUGUUUGAUUUAUUCAUUGCAAACAGCUGAAAGUCUAAAUUUUGACAAAAAAAAUAUUUUCAAUGGGGGUUGAAUGAUUUUGAUUACAACUGUAUUGCAACCCAUCCUGUUUCUAAAAUUCAAUCUAAAUCCAAGCGUGGCUCUGAGAUUCUCUAUAUAUUAUCCAUUUGGCAGAGAAACACCAAUGAAAUGAGACCAGUAUAGUUACAUAGUUACAUAGUUCCAUAGCUGAAAAGAGACUUGCGUCGAUCAAGUACUGCCUUCCUCACAUUUGUUUUUUGCUGUUGAUCCAAAAGAAGGCAAAACAACAGUUUGAAGCACAAUUUUGCAACAAGCUAGGAAAAAAAUUCCUUCUUGACCACAGAUUUAUCCUUGGAUCAAGCAGUUCUUACCCUACAUUGAAAGAUUAUAUCCUUGAAUAUUCUGUUUUUGCAAGUAUACAUCUAGUAGCUGUUUGAACAUCUGUAUGGACUCUGAUAAAACCACUUCUUCAGGCAGAGAAUUCCACAUCCUGAUUGUUCUUACAGUAAAAAAACCUUUCCUUUGCCUUAGACGAAAUCUUCUUUCUUCCAUUCUGUGAUGAUUGUGAAUGGUGGUGAGAUUUGUCGGCUUGUUGCGCAUACUUUCUUCUAGCAGAACUUAAUUAAAGGUCCAUACUAAAGGGACAGAUAGUUCAUCGUCUUUCAAGGACCAGCAAUGCUUCAAAUAACAUAAAACAAAAUCAAGAAAUAUGUGAAUGUCAUGAAUCAUAUCUAUUUUACUUUCAAUGCACCAGAAAGACUGUACUUUAUAACAGUGUGUGUGUGGGGGGCAGGGGGAUCGGCCAUAAAUGUAUCUGGAUUUGUAGAUAAGUUUUUGAGCCACUGAUUAUUAUUUGCAUUCCCGCUGUGUUCUGGCUGAAUGCAAAAUCGGGCAAACAAAAUACAGCUCUGAUUUAAAAAGUAAUUUUUUUUCCUCCUGUUUCUCUCUGCGUCCUAUUAUUAAACUUUAAAUUAUACAGUCUACACAAUUUUUAUUUCCUGUCUCUUUGUGUUAUUUAAUGUGAAAUAAGUUUAUUUUCAGGCAAGACAGACGCUUUACAGCUAUUAAUUGGCAAUCAUGAAAGAUCAAACACAAAACCAUUGUUGUUGCUCAACUAAUAAACUAUUUUACCUUCCUGGAAAAAAAUAAACUACAAUGCAAAGUAGUAAACGUACAACAAUGUCACCUAUUACUAACAUUUAAUAUGUUCCUACAACAGUGCUUUCACGUUUCCUGUCNNNNNNNNNNNNNNNNNNNNNNNNNNNNNNNNNNNNNNNNNNNNNNNNNNNNNNNNNNNNNNNNNNNNNNNNNNNNNNNNNNNNNNNNNNNNNNNNNNNNAGUGUGUUUAUAACGUGCACCGAUCAGGCUGUUAAAUUUCCAUAGAAUAACUCAGGGUGGUUACCUUCUCUGCUCUUUGUUUAAGGUUACGAUGUUGAAGGUUAUCUCGGACUGUCACCAAAGAUAUUCCAGCCAAAAGAUGUCGUGAAAAGUGGAAAAGCCGUGUGUUCUGGCUACGCAGGACUAUUUAAAGAAAUGUGCAGGUAUAUAUUACAUUUACCUGUGUAGUAUAUCUGUAGUAUGUAUUCUACUGGCAUUAUGCUCAAAAGGGAGACUUACCUUUCUUUCUUUUUGUCCCCAAAAAUUAUUUCUGUCAUGGUACACAGAUAAUGGAAAAUUAACUCCAAAAUAUCUCUCAAAUUGUCCUAUCAGAAGUGCAAAUGUAUCUUUUUUUCAAUAAAUGCAAAAAGAAUAUGGCCCACCUACACGCCUGUUUAAUUGUUGGCAUAGACCCCAGCGCCAAUGGCAUAGAAGUCAGUGCCAACAAUUCUGCUUUCUGUCACAGCAACUACUGCAAGUGCCCUGUAGUUGCUGUGAUAUUUCUCUAGUCCAGUGAGCGCUUCUCAUUCCUGUUAGGGGAAUACAGAAACAGAGUGAUGAAAUAAUACUCCUUUAUUUGUAAAGCCAGGAACCAUCCCGGUGCUGCAUAGCCUCAAGCUUGAGUUGAGCAGUUAAUGGCAAGAGUGAGCCUCUGCUCUGUUUUUAAUGGAGAGAUAGUUCAGUGGCUAAAGAAACCACUGGCACUAUCUGAGAAUCACAGAGAAUCACAAAGUUAAUUCCCAACAAUUAACACAAAGUUAAUUCCCAAGGUUAACUUAGCCCUUUAUCCUUCCAGUGUUAAUAAGAUUACAUUAGAUUAGGGAAUAAUGACACCUGGACUGCAGAAACAUACAUAGAAACUAGUGACAAGCUAAAUGUACCUUUUCUGGUUAAAGACCUUGAUAUUAUAAUUGUACCCUUAAAGGGACACUGUAGUAACCAGAACCACUACAGCUUUACGUAGUGGUUGUGGUGUCCUUGCAAUGUUAGCACGGUAAAUACUGCUUUAUCAGAAAAAAGGCAGUGUUUACUUUGCUGCCUAGUAACACCUCUAGUGGCAGUCACUCAGAUGGCCACUAGAGCUGCUUCCUUGUAAAGUGCUUCACAGAGUGCAACACCUGAGUUCAGCAUCUCCAUGCUCUGCAUGGAGGCGCUGAACAUUCCCUGUAGAGAUAGACACAGAUAUAUAACGGGGAGAAGGGAAUGGGGGUAACCACUAAUGCUAAUUAUUUAUACAUAAACGAAAGUAAAGGGAGAAAAAAGGAAGUACAAAAUCCCUAUAGGAAAAGGAGUAACCUGUGUAUAAAACUUAAAGGAACACUAUAGUCACCUAAAUUACUUUAGCUAAAUAAAGCAGUUUUAAUGUAUAGAUCAUUCCCCUGCAAUUCCCCUGCUCAAUUAACUGUAAUUUAGGAGUUAAAUCACUUUGUUUCUGUUUAUGCAGCCCUAGCCACACCUCCCCUGGCUAUGAUUGACAGAGCCUGCAUGAAAAAAAACUGGUUUCACUUUCAAACAGAUGUAAUUUACCUUAAAUAAUUGUAUCUCAAUCUCUAAAUUGAACUUUAAUCACAUACAGGAGGCUCUUGCAGGGUCUAGCAAGCUAUUAACAUAGCAGGGGAUAAGAAAAUAUUAAUUAAACAGAACUUGCAAUAAAGAAAGCCUUAAAAGGGCUCUCUUUACAGGAAGUGUUUAUGGAAGGCUGUGCAAGUCACAUGUAGGGAGGUGUGACUAGGGUUCAUAAACAAAGGGAUUUAAAACAAAGGGGAGAAGAGUCUGCGCUAACUAACAGAUGGAAGAGCAGCAACCCUAAAAAGGGAAUCCCUCAAAAAACCCUUGGAGAACAAGAGAAAGCAAAUGGAGUUUAGGGCUGCGCUUUAAGUCAAUAAAUAAAAGUAGAAUCAGCAAAUAGUAAGAGCAACAAAUAAAACCAAAAUAUAAUAUGAAUAAAAUAAACAGAGUUCAUCCAAAUAUGGAGAUGAGAUAAUGUAAAUAGGAACAGUCUCAAUGUUGUAUGAUGGUAUAGUUUUGAUCCUCAGAUAUUGUUCCAUCCAGGUGAUAAAUAGUCCAUAUAUGUGGAGAUAAAAAACAAGAAAAAAAGCUGCCAAUGGUGAAAUAUUGCGGAUCCAGAUGUGGUAUAUAAAUCAAGGAAAAGGUAUUGCACUCACAUUUGUUGGAGCUUGAACCAGCUCUAGGAGAAAGGGAUUUAACUCUUAAAUGGCAGAGGAUUGAGCAUUGAGGCUGCAGGGGCAUGUUCUAUACACCAAAACUGCUUCAUUAAGCUAAAGUUGUUCAGGUGACUAUAGUGUCCCUUUAACUUUUAUUUACGUCUUUAAAAAACCACAAGUCAAAUGAUUAUAUACAAAAAAAUCCCUACAUAUAACAGACAUAUUAAAACUAGAACCACUGUUUAGAAGUUAUGUCUUAAUCGUAAUACAGAAUAGCAGAGACAGAUAUAGAAAAUAGUGGACAUAGGCUAGACUAGAGAAAUACUAUGGAUACAAAUCUGUCUAAUAGAUCUGGUAAUUCUAGUUAUAAUGUAUCAACAGAAAUAAAUCAACAAUAAUAAAUAAAAGAAAAAGACAGAAAAACCACACAAAUGCCUCCUAGAGUGUGUGUGAUGACACACUCCAGAGACAAUAAAGGGAAGGGAGGGGAGGAUUUGCUAAACUGGUAUAGUAUUCUAUAUAGUGUAAUUGGAAAAGUCUUACCAAAUAGAGGUAGAUAGAUAAAAGUCUAAAAAUAACCUGUAACUGGAGAUAUACUGCUGUGCCUUCGAUGACACCGCUUAAAAAAAGGCUAGCCUCCAUCUGUUCUAUACUAGAGUAGCUAAACCUAGAUAAGGUAACAAAAUUAAGAGAUAAAUGCCAGCUAUUCCCAACCCCUCGAUAAUAAAAAAAAAAGAAAGAAAGUAUCCAAAAUGAAAUAAAUUCUUAAUAAUAAUAAAUAAUUAAAGAAAAUUGAAAAGCUCAUCAAAAGUGUAUGGUGUCAGCGUCUCCAUUUAAAUCUCAUGCUGCAUCAUCGUCCCUUAUAAUUAGACUCCAAUACACAUAAACCGUCCCAACGCGCGCUCCAGUGGAAGCGCCAGUUAGUGCCAAUUCACCACAAUCUACAUAAUCCAUGUUAGGGAGAGGAAUUCACACAACAUACACGUGGCUUAAUUUUAUAUUUAUAAGGUAUUAGCUAGCCUUUUACUAACACACGCAGAAUACCUUUAUUUGACGUGUUAUCUAAGUAAGGUUACAGGGAUUGUCCAUGUCUAAAAAAGAAAAAGAUUUUCAGUCCAAUAAACUCUAUAUUGUUGUCAACAUAUUUUCAACACUGUUACGGUAAAAGUCUCUUUAAGAUAACCGUAUCAAACAACACCUGCACAGCUCCCAGAUUGGCAGGCAGAGAAUUAUAGGAGUUGUGAUCCAACAUGGGCUGGGUACUGCAAGUUUGAUAUUCCUUUAAACAAUAGAAUUCACUUGAAACUUUGAGCCACUGUGUAGGCGAAAGAGCUAUUAAAAUGGUAAUCUGUGAAUUGCCUUUGAACGGAAUACUUAGUGUAUUCAGACUCUUUCCUUGAGAGGUUUGAUGUGCUCAGUUGGAAUUAAACUCGCCUUGAAUAAUUGAGUUCACGCCGAAUGAAAAGGGUUGAGGAAAUUGCUGAAAUCCAAGGCGGGGUGCAAAGAUUUCUCUGGGUUUUACAUAAUAAAGGAAAUUACAACAGAUAACAUGUUCAAUUUCUUGCAGGGAAAUAGGAAUAAAAUGCAGAGAAAUAUCUGGACACAGUCGAGGAUCAGAAUACAGCAAUGGCCUAAGCUUCCAUAGGACAAAAUCCAACCAUAUGUGGAACGCGUUGGAGCUUGAUGAUCAGUGGUAUCUUUUGGAUGCUUGCUGGGGAGCAGGAACAGUAAAUCUCCAGGAAAAGAUAUUUGUUCCAAGGUUAGAUUAUUGAAUAAUGAAUAAAAUUAAAAUGCAACGAAACAUUAUAUAUCCUCGGUCCUAUAGGUCCUUUCCCUACCGAGCACUUAAUGGAACACUAUAGUGUUAGCAAUAUAAAGUCUCCCCCCUUCACUCCCCACAGCUAUCAAAGGUGUUUUUUUACUUACCUUAUUACAUUGAGUAAGUUUAUUCUCCACCUCCUCCGAUGUUGUCGCAAAUCGGUAGUGUUGCAUGGACGUUAUGCCUUCCCCAUAGGAUAGCAUUGAAUGGGGAUUUAGAAGAUGUUGCACAUCCUCAUGCAAAGCGUGAAACAGCAGGAAGCGCCUCUAGUAGCUGUUUGUUAUCAAAAUUUACAGACUUCAGCUGUUUGCAAUGACCAAAUCAAACAAAGGUAUUUAAAAUAGCUUAACACAAUGAAUGAGUCCAGUGUUUUCUCCAAAUUCAGCUGAAAAUGAAAGUUAUAAUGACUUCUCCAGUCUCAAAAUGAUUCAGCCCCCUGUAUAGAAUCCAUCACAAAAGCACAUAAUAUGCCAAACAGGUGUUGUCUCAAGCACACCUUAUGCAACUUAUCAAGGGCUUCAUUAGUUGCACCAGGUGUGCUUGAGCUAGAACACUUGAAAUACCUAAACUGGCUAGGAGUUUGUUGAUUGUCACGUUUGACUUCAUGUAAAAAUAUGGCUAAGUCAAAAGAAUGGUCCACAAUCGUAAGAGAAGGGAUCAUCAUCCACAAACAAAGAGCAGGAUACAAAAUGAUAGCGAAAGCUAGACACACGACUGGAAGCAUAGUUAGCAAUUUCAAAGUUGAAGCAACAGUGGUUACACUACCUGGACUGUGCAGAAACAGGAAGCUAUCAAUGGCUGCAGUCAGAUUUCCGAGAAGGCAGGUUGUGAAGAAGUCCCAAGUGACUGCAAAAGACCUGCAGCAAGACUUGGUCGCAACAGACUCUGAGGUUUCAGUGAGCACAGUAAAGCAUGUACUAAACACAGAAGAUUUCCAUGCCAGAACUCCAAGACAUACACCACUAUUGACCCAAAAGCACAAGUAAAGUCGGCUCCAAUAUGCUCAAAAUCAUAUAAAUGAGCCACAAAAGUUUUGGGAAUCUGUUCUGUGGAAUGAUGAAACAAAACUAGAACCUUUCAAACCCAAUGGAUCAGCUGUAUGUCUGAAGGAAGAAGACUGAAGCAUAUGGUGAAAAGAACACUCCUCCUACAGUUAAGCAUGGUGGUGGCUUGGUGAUACUCUGGGGCUACUUUGCAUCCUCUGGCACCGAAACCUGCAGUGUGUGAAAGGCAGGAUGGAUUCAUUGAAGUAUCAGGAAAUCCUUGGAGAAAAUGGCAUGCUGUUUGUGAGGAAGCUGAAUCUUGUGCGCCAUUGUACCUACUAACAAGACAAUAAUCCCAAGCCACAGAAGGACUUCUUGUGCAACCAAGUCUCAAAUUCCACCAAGGCUUGGUUGCAGAAGAAGUCCUGGAAAAUUCGACAGUGGCCAUCAUAGUCUCCUGACUUGAACCCCAUAGAAUAUCUCUGGUAGGAUUUGAGGAAAAAGGGUUGUAGUACGCAAACCCAAGAAUAUUACUGAACUGGAGGCCACUACAUUAGCAAUAAGAUUCCUCAGGAACCCUGCCAAAAGCUGGUUCCUGGCUAUGCAUCUCAUUCGCAGUGGGUUAUAACAGCAAAAAAGUGCCCUAAUAUGUACUAAGAAUGCUUGCCAUGAAUGUGGUUGAAUAAUUUGGAGACUGGAGAAGUCAUUUUAAGUUACCUUUUUAGUUGAAUUUGGGGAAACCACUUGAAGCAUUUAUUGUGUUAAGCUAUUUCAAUGGCUUUUUAAAAUUUGAUUAUUUUAUUGCAAACAGCUAAACGUCUGUACAUUUUGACAAUAAACCUAAUUUUUAAUUGUGGUUGAAUAAUUCUGAUUACAACUGUACUAAAUAUGUAUGUACACAGAUACACAUAUAAACACACGCACUGCCACAUAAACAGUUACAGACACACACACUGACACACAGAUAUACACACUGACACACAGGUACACACAAUGACACACAGGUACACACAAUGAGACAUAUGUCAUGUAUUUUUUACGUUUUUAGCCACCCUCCUGUUAACAUGCCUUAGUGGACUUCCUCAGGGACCACCGAUUCACAAAACGUAAUAAAAACCAGAACCAGAAAACAUACAGCUGAUUGUUUUAUUACUCUGCUUUUUAUUACUCUUUGUGAAAUGGUGGUCCCUGAGGAAGUCGUUUUAGUAGACAAAAUGUGUAGAACUGUUCUUCUUGAUUCUAUUGUUUAUUGAGAAUACAUUUUUAAACAUCGGUUAUGGCUAGAAUCCUUCGACAUAUCAGGUGGUCUGGAGCCCAGAGGUUGAGAGGGAUUUGGCCCUACAACUACAUCGAUGAAGGCACAUUGAUACAAUUAUUUCAUAUUGCUGCUUGUGAGUGCAAAUCAUCUUCAAGAAGAUGCAUCUGCUUAAUGGUCUUUUACUAUUGCGUUGUAUAUUUAUUUUUUCUAGAUUUUAUGCUGUUUCCCUAUAUGUUGUGUAUAUAUUUAUAUAUGCAGUCAUGGGGAAAAAUGUACACCCUCUUUGAAUUCCAUGGUUUUACAUAUCAGGAUAUAAUAACAUAAUCUGUUGCUUAGCAGGUCUUAAAAUUAAGUAAAUUCAACUUCAGAUGAACAAUAACACAUGACAUAUCACACUGUGUCAUGAUUUAUUUAAGAAAAAUAACGCCAAAAUGCAGAGUACACCUUAUGAUUGAAUAGCUUGUAGAACCACCUUUAGCAGCAAUAACGUGAAGUAAUCAUUUCCUGUACUACUUUAUCAGUCUCCCACAUGGUUGUGGAGGAAUUUUGGCAAACUCCUUUUUGCAACGUUGCUUCAGUUCAUUGAGGUUUGCUGGCAUUUAUUUAUGCACCACUCUCUAAAGGUUAGACCUUGAUUCUUUUCUUUUUCAGCCAUUCUGCUGUAGAUUUGCUGGUGUGCUCGGAAUCAUUGUCCUGUUACAUGACCCAAUUAUGGCCAAGCUUUAGGUGUUGGACAGAUGGCCUCACAUUUGACUCUAGAAUACUUAGGUAUACAGAGGAGCACUGUAGAAUAAUUUAUAUUAAAUUGUUUGAAAAUGGCCUUAUAACCCGUCCUAGUUUGAUGGGCAGCAACAGUUGCUUCUCUAAGAUCAUUGCUGAUGUCUUUCCUCCUUAGCAUUUUGCUAACAUACACCUGAAUGCUCCAGACCAGCACACUGCUAAUUAUUCAGCUUUUAUAGAGGUUGUCACACUUGCUAAUUAUGAUGAUCAAUUAAUCAAGGACAUUUGAUUAGCAGCACCUGUCUGGUACUUAGCCUCUUAAUUUUUAUGGAUGCAGUAAGGAUAUACCUAGCUUUCUACAGAUGACUUCUCAAUGUUAAAUAAAUCAGGACACGAUGUAAUAUGUCACGUGUUGUUCAACUGAGGUUGUAUUUACCUUACUUUAAAGACCUGCUAAGGCACAGAUGAUUGUUAUUAUAUCCUGAUAUGUAAAACCAUAGAAUUCAAAGAGGAUGUACUUUCUUUUUCCAAUGACUGUAAAUAUGUAACAAUGCAAUGAUUUGUGGACCCAGGACAUACUUGAAAACGAGAGAAAUCUCAAUGUAUCUUUCCUGGUAAAAUAUUUUAUAAAUAAAUAAAUAAAUAAAUGUUAAGGGCAUUUGGGGAUUCGUUUCAGAGAGGGCUACGACUAAUCUACUUAAUUAUCCACCAUCGUUAUAAGCUAAAUCUAACUUUGCUUGUUGUAAUUGGUGGUGGUUUGUACACGUAUGUUUGUGGCAAUACAACAUUAUAACCACAGACAAAUUAAGUGAAUAAUGUUUAUUAUAUUUUUACAAUGGCACAUAUCUAGGGGUGGUGGGUUAUAUUAGGCAGCAAGUGAACAGUCAGUUCUUGAAUUUCAUGCGUUGAAUGCAGGAAAAAUGGGCUAGUGAAAAGAUCUGAGUGACUUUGAUAAAAGCAAAAUGGUGAUGGCUAGACGACUGGGUCAGAGCAUCUCCAAAACAACGUCUCCUGGGGUGUUCCUGGUAUGCAGUGGCCAGUACCGACCAAAAGUGAUGUAAGAAAGGGCAACUGGGGAACCUGCAUCAGGUUCAUAGGCGCCCGAGGCUCAUUAAAGCACAUAAGGAGCAAAAGCUAGCUUGUCUUUUCUGAUCCCACAGAAGAGCUACUGUAGCUCCAAUUGCUGGCCGUGAUUAAUAGAUGUCACUGUGUCUCCAUCUACCUAGAGAUUGUUGCAGACUAUGUACAUACCGUCAUGGUAAUGGUGUUCCCUGAUGGCAGUGGCCCCUUUCAGCAGGAUAAUGCACCUGCUAUACUGCAAUAAUUGUUCACGAAUGGUUUGAGGAACAUGACAUAGAGUCGAAUGUGUUGCCUUGGCCUCCAAAUUCCUCAGAUCUCAAUCCAAUUGAGCAUCUAUGGGAUGUGUGGGAAAAAAAAAACAAUAAUCCAUGGAGGCCCCUCAUCACAACUUACAAGACUUAAAAUAUCUGCUGUUAAUAUCUCGGUGCCAGAUUCCACAAGACACAUUUAGAGGCUUUGUGGAGUCCAAACAUUAACACAUCAGAUCUGCUUUUGCAGCAUGAGGGGAACCUACACAAUAUUAGACAUGGGGUUUUAAUGUUGUGUGUAAUCAUAUGUAUGUUUAUCUGACAAAGGAACAUGUUGCACUUUUUAUUUAUUUACAUCUUUUAUUAAUUUUGAUAUAGUAAAGUGUGUUUUCAUAGCGUUACCUUGUCUAGUUUUGUGAAUACAGACUCUGAAUUUAGCUGCAGAAUGUGGCCGUAUGGGGGGUAUAAUGUUGCAUACGGUUAAAUACAGUUGCCUGUUAACUGCUAUUAUGACAUUUUUUGCUCCUAGAUUUUGUUCUUGUCCCCCACUAUCCUGGAAUUUUUCUUUUGGAGAUACAGCAACAGAAUACAUGUUUCUUUUACUGGAUGUGUUAGAAUUAUCUGAUGAGGAAUGUUUUGUAAUAGGUACAGUGAUCGGAUUUACACUAUAAUCUACGUGCAUGGAAUGCGAUUUAAUAAUACGGGGCAGGAUUGUAAUAGGUACAGUGAUCGGAUUUACACUAUAAUCUACGUGCAUGGAAUGCGAUUUAAUAAUACGGGGCAGGAUUGUAAUAGGUACAGUAGAUGGAACUACAGUACACUCUGCUUUAAUCCAUGUUUCUUGCUCUUGCAGUUAUGAUGACUUUUUCUUCUUCACCGACCCGGAGAAUUUCAUUGAAACGCACUGGCCUGAUGACCCCAUUUGGCAGCUGCUCAAAUCUCCAGUGUCCUUCCAGGCAUUUGAGCAAAACGUUUUCAAAACCUCUGAGUUCUUUAAACUUUGCCUUUCUGUCAUCUCUCCAAAAGACUUCUAUCUCAAAACAGGUAAAAUGUGGGAAACCCUGUGUUUGGGUAGAGGGGUUUUCGAGACAAAGGGACAGAGCCCUUUCCCGCAUUAGGUUCCCGGGGAGGGGGAGGACCCUGGGAAGGAACAUUGUAUGCUGUGUGUUACACCCCUUUUGCUUACAAGCCGUGUGUGGCCAACAAAGUGUUGUUGUACUUCCAGAACUGUGUGUCGUCCAGUUACUGGGGGGUGGAGGGGGGGAAUCGGUCUGUUUGUCCAUUACAUGGUUCCUGACCGGCCGAAGGAAGGGAAUUAGUGGAGGUAAAGGGUCGGGUUACCCGUGAUCCGCUACAAUCUUUAAGUGUCUAGGUACUAACCAGUUUAAGGCAGUGACUUUGCUACUACUCCAACCAACUGAUAUAAAAGAGAAGCUUGUGUAAUAUAUGUAAUGGCAGAACAUAAAUUGUAUAAACUAAUUAAAGAAUCAAUGAGUCAAGGAGCCCUACUGAAAAUUGCAUCAUGAAAGGAGAAUGAAGUCUUCAUAUUGCCAAUUGUAUGCAACUUUAACAAUCGCACAUUAAUGUUCAGUAAUGCACUGGAUAAUUUAAUUAGUGCCUUCAGCAAACAGUCAUGUGAUUUGUGAUAUUUAUGAUCUAGAGCAAGAAUAGGCAACCUUCAGCACUACAGAUGUAUGCUCUUACAUGCUGGCCAAGUAUCAGGGGACAUGUAGUCUACAAAAUCUCGAGUGCCAAAGGUUGCAUACCCCUGAUCUAAAGAGUCACCCACACACGCUCGUACACCACUAAAUUGCCUGAGACAUAUAUCUAUGUCUUUUUUAUUAUUAUUAUUAUUAUUUUGAUCUACAUUUUCAAAUAGUUCUUAACCCACUAGUACUCAUUGUUUGGUGUGUUCCAAUGAGUCCCAAAACUAGAGAUGAUCAACUCAAAAGAAUAUAAACUACGUUUUGUUAGUAUUCUUGGAAACUAUUGAUACACAGUUUCAGUAAAUAAUAAAUAAAAGAACGCUAAGGGACAUAUUAAAAACCCAUUAUAUUUCUAAUUUUUUUCUUGCAUUCCACAGGAUUUUGACUCAUCAUACUUUCUAAAUUACCUACCAUAAAUGUUUGUAUCUCAUUACGCUUUUUGUUUGCAGAUCAUGGUCAGGUGCAAGUAUCGCUGGGAUGCUCGAAGCCAAUGGAGUUCAGCUAUAAGAUUUAUAACCUUUCCAACAAUGAAAGACACCUUGUAGAAAAGAUGUAUGGCAUAUUGACUAUGCAUCAUUUAUCGAUGACCCUCAGAGUUAUUCCACCAGUGGAAGGUUUGUUUGAGCUCAUGAUUUUCGCAAGACCUAUGGACAACAAAGACAUCUACAAGUGGGUUUGUUCGUACCAAAUUGAUUGCACACAGGCUAAAUGUUCUGACUUGUUAAUUGGAAACCCUUUCCAUUUUUGGGGCCUUCACCAGAAUGCUAAAGAUUUUGGAGUCAGUGGAUAUAAUUAUGAAGAGGACCUCAUAGUGGCAAGCAGCAGUUUGAGCGUAAUUUUCAAGACAUUAAGGCCAUUGUUGGCAAUGUACGAGUUAGUUCACAAAAAACUGACUGGACCGCUCAGUAAGAAAUGUUUUGUAUCUCACAUCGAAGAAACACAACUAAGCUGCCAUCUACUGUUCCCAUACCUUGGGUACUACAGACUUUCAUUGUUUGUGAAGGAUGUGAAUAGAGAACAUUAUAAAAAUGCUGCUAAUUUACUUAUUCAAUGCACCAACCCAAUAAACCAUAAUGAACUUUAUCCAUCUGAUCUUAGCAUCCACUGUGGACCAGGUCUUAAUUCGAAAGUGAAUGGGCUCAAAGAUCCGAGCCACCUUCAUCCCGUUAUUAACACAACAAGUGGGGCAUGCACUAUAAGCUUUCACACCUCAUCUGCCACUGAGCUGCUUGCUACACUUGAAGAGAACAAAGGGAAGACUAAUUUGUCCUCGCUAGACAGAUAUUGUUUGGUUACACACCUGGAGCACAAAAUCAGUGUAAGCCUACAUCUUCCAUUAUCAGGGUAUUAUAAACUGAGCAUUUUUGCUAAGAGUCAAGGAAAAAGCCAGGAGUUCUCUCAUGUGUGUGACUAUGUGAUACGAUGCUUCGCUGAUACCCAAUUGCUUCCUUUCCCAAAGGUUUACAGUGGUUGGAGACAAGGUUGCAUAUUGUUACAUCCAAGAGCUGGUCUUCUCGAAGCGGAAAGCUGGGAGACUUUCAGAGUUAAAAUUCCCGGAGCUUAUAAGGUAGUUGUGAUAGGCCCUAAAAAGACAGAACUGCAGCUCAUCCAGAACAAGAUCUGGGAAGGCAAGGUUUUCACAGGAUCUCCCGGGUCUUUAAUCAAGCUAGCUGUUAAAUUAGCACAACAUUCUACCACAAUGGAUAUAAUGAUGUCCUUUAAAUCACAAACUAACCCUAAUAAUAUUGAUGGAUCAUCGGGUUAACUAAAUGUUUGGUGACAGAAAUUGCAGAGCCAAAGCAUUGCACAGGUCACAUUAAAAUAAAUGAAGAAUUCAUUAAUGGUUUGACGCUGUUUUAGUCUGCAGAACGUGGCUGCAGGAUCAGUGUCAAUACACAGAAUGUGUCCCACACAUUUCACUGCCUGGGAAUCAGCAGUUAUGGCUUUGAGUUAUAUGACUGCUAGUGAUGUCCCGAACGGUUCGCCACGGACUCAUCAUUGAGUAAACUUUGACCCUGUACCUCACAGUCAGCAGACACAUUCCAGCC
rnacentral:lncRNA from 1 species